GGGGAAUUUUGGACAAUGGGCGCAAGCCUGAUCCAGCCAUGCCGCGUGCAGGAUGAAGGCCUUCGGGUUGUAAACUGCUUUUGUACGGAACGAAAAGAUCUUCUUUAAUACAGAGGGUCCAUGACGGUACCGUAAGAAUAAGCACCGGCUAACUACGUGCCAGCAGCCGCGGUAAUACGUAGGGUGCAAGCGUUAAUCGGAAUUACUGGGCGUAAAGCGUGCGCAGGCGGUAAUGUAAGACAGAUGUGAAAUCCCCGGGCUCAACCUGGGAACUGCAUUUGUGACUGCAUUGCUGGAGUGCGGCAGAGGGGGAUGGAAUUCCGCGUGUAGCAGUGAAAUGCGUAGAUAUGCGGAGGAACACCGAUGGCGAAGGCAAUCCCCUGGGCCUGCACUGACGCUCAUGCACGAAAGCGUGGGGAGCAAAC
rnacentral:rRNA from 1 species